UUUGCUCCGUGCGAUAUUUGAAUUGAUUGAAAGGUGAAGGGCCAGUUCAAAAGAUGGGUGAGAGAGGGAAAAUAGGCGGGACCGCGACGCGGGAUGAGAAGGAGUGGAGCAGUCGGGGCGCUCACGUCAGGCAGAGGAGCCUCUCCUAUAGCCACCACCACCACCUGUUCAUGGGGGUUUCUGCCAGGCCACGGCUGAUGAUCACAUAAAGCUCAAGCAUUCUUCUGUCAGCUUGCGGUGAAUGCUGCCAGGCCUAGAACUCACCCUUCAGGGCAGUGGGCUCCCCUCUGGCCCAGGGCAGAUCCAGAAAUGCUGUCAAGAGCCUAAGCCUGGACUCGAGGACUCCCCCAAGAACCCUCUUGGUGCUCUACCCCUCUGUGGCUGAACUGGUACCUAAGGUGCAAGACAAAGCCUCCUUUAUGUUUCCCUCUGCUUUUCUCAAAUAGAAGGAGUCUUCCAUUGUAGCCACCACAGCUGGGAAUGUGCUGGGUCACCCCUGAAGCCAGCAUAUCUCAGAGCCCAAGGCCCACAGCAUACUCGCUGGUAUUGCUGCUAUUCAGGGCCCAAGGACUGAUGAAUCCUGCCAGGACUGAGUCCUUCCUUUCAAGGCAGUAGGUUCCCUUUUGGCCCAAGGUGUGUCUAGAAAUGUUGUCUAGGAGCUAGGGCCUGGGAUGGGAGCCUCAUCACCCUGCUCAAUGUCCUAUCGUACUGUGGCUGAGCUGGUAUCCCAGAUACAAGACAAAGUCCUCUUUACUCUUUGCUCUCCUCUACUUAAGCAGAAGGAAAGAGUCACUUUGUUGCAGAGAGCUGCACUGCCUGGGGUUUGGGGAGGUAUGGCACAAGGUGUGCCAGCUGGUGUCACUCUAGGUCACUUACCAUGCUAGUUCACUGGCUGUAAGGCAAGCCUAGCAUUAGGAAUUGCCUAGGACUUGCAGUCCUUGUGUUCAGACUGCCUUUCAGGUUUACCUAGGACCCCAGAGCACUUCAGCCUGCUGUGGUGUGCCUUGCUGAGAAGCUCAAGUUCCAAUUGCUAGGCUAUUGCCCUCUGGCUAGGGAUGGUCCAAAUCCUCCCUCCAUGCGUGGGUGCUGGCUGAACCCAGCACAGCUUUAACUCUGCUGUGACAAGGCAGCACUGAAUAUAAUGUGAAGUCCAUCAGUCACUGCGCUCUCCCUCCCCAAAGUGCACAGAUUCUCUCUCCAUACCACAUGGCCACUGGUGGAGGAUGCGGGAGGGGUGGUGUCAGCAAUUCAAGACUAUUUCUCUUGCCUUCCUCAAUGCCUCUUUUGGAAAUUUGAAGUCAAAACCAGGUACCAUGAUUGUUCACCUGAUUUUUGGUUCUGUGUGCAGAUAGUCAUUAAAAUUUGAUGUUCCAGUAAGA